ACAACAGGUGGAGCCUGCGGUUAAUCGGACUCAACGCCGGGAAACUCACCAGAUAAGACAGCUGAAUGAUAGUCGGGCUGAAGACUCUACUUGACUAGCUGAGAGGAGGUGCAUGGCCGUCGUCAGUUCGUACUGUGAAGCAUCCUGUUAAGUCAGGCAACGAGCGAGACCCACGCCAACAGUUGCCAGCUCGUCCUCCGGGAUGGUGGGGACACUGUUGGGACCGCUCUGCUAAAGAGGAGGAAGGAAUGGGCAACGGUAGGUCAGCAUGCCCCGAAUUAUCUGGGCUACACGCGGGCUACAAUGGGUGGGACAAUGGGUAUCGACACCGAAAGGUGAAGGCAAUCUCCUAAACCCAUCCGUAGUUCGGAUUGUGGGCUGCAACUCGCCCACAUGAAGCUGGAAUCCGUAGUAAUCGUGUCUCAAAAUGGCACGGUGAAUAUGUCCCUGCUCCUU
rnacentral:rRNA from 1 species